UCUAGAUUUACCUCGUUCUCUUUUGUCUCCGCUUUUUUUUCACAUUUCCUUGCGACCCUGGCCCUUGAGCGACAAAAAGGGGAAGCCAAGGCUGGCCCGAGGAACGGAGAGGGCACAUGGCCUAGCCACAAGUGGAGCUUCUGCUCCGCCCGAAGGGAUGCGCUGGAGCGGCCUCUUCCUUCUGCCACGGUCUUUCUUUGCCAACUAGUGGAGACUGGACCUCAGAAGAGGGAGUGGGUGCCCCGAGAACUCACAGCUAGCGGACAGUGGAAAGGGCAGGAGCCGGACCAAGGUGAGGACAGUGGAACUGAAGGCCGCUGGUUACCUCUCCUGCCCUCCGCUGGCCACAGUGGAGAAGACAGCCCCUCCCUCCUGCUCUGACCUGACAGUGUUCAUCCAUCGCCCUGUAUUAGCGAAGAACAACAUCAAGCUGGCUAGCAAGGAACUGUAUACAGGGUCCAGCUGGGUAUCACACUGGAUCUCACCCAAAGCUUAGAUGUGAUCCAGCUCAGUAUCACAAAGCAGAACGAAAAGGAUGUGUUUGGGCUGAGAGGCCAUACAUUGGCUCCGGCAUGACGGGUGACUUCUUCCGAGUCUGGCUUCUGCAGCACACAGGGCUUCGCCAGCACCCAGCUCCUGCAGCAUGGGCAGCUCCUGUGACAGCAGGCGCCCGCAGCCUGCAAAGCGUCUCCAGUGCCGCCGCCUCAGUGAACCUCAACCAGCGGCACCUAGCAGCUUUCUCUGCCACCCUCUUCAGGUAGUUCUGUAGCAGCGCGUUUCUCAUGAGACACUUCCCUGUGAGCAGCUUUUUCUACCCUUGAGGAUGGAUUUCCA
rnacentral:lncRNA from 1 species